GUGAGGAAUUUUCCGCAAUGGGCGAAAGCCUGACGGAGCAAUGCCGCGUGAAGGAUGAAGGCCUAUGGGUUGUAAACUUCUUUUCUCAGAAAAGAAUUAUGACGGUAUCUGAGGAAUAAGCAUCGGCUAACUCUGUGCCAGCAGCCGCGGUAAGACAGAGGAUGCAAGCGUUAUCCGGAAUGAUUGGGCGUAAAGCGUCUGUAGGUUGUUUAAAAAGUAUUCUGUCAAAGAUUAGGGCUUAACCCUAGAUAGGCAGAAUAAACUUUUAAGAUAGAGUGUGGUAGAGGCAGAGGGAAUUCCCGGUGGAGCGGUGAAAUGCGUAGAUAUCGGGAGGAACACCAAAGGCGAAGGCACUCUGCUGGGCCAAUACUAACACUGAGAGACGAAAGCGAGGGGAGCAAAUGGGAUUAGAAACCCCGGUAGUCC
rnacentral:rRNA from 1 species